GACGAACGCUGGCGGCGUGCCUAAUACAUGCAAGUAGGACGCAGUUGCGAACGGGUGAGUAACGCGUAGGUAACUACCUAUUAGAGGGGGAUAACUAUUGGAAACGAUAGCUAAUACCGCAUACUAGUAGAUGGACCUGCGUUUUAUUAGCUAGUAGGUCGGGUAAUGGCCUACCUAGGCAACGAUACAUAGCCGACCUGGGAGGGGGAUCGGCCACAAUGGGACGGAGACAAGGCCCAGACUCCUAAGGGAGGCAGCAGGAGGGAAAUUUCGGAAAUUGGGGGAACCCUGACCGAGCAACGCCGCGGGAGUGAAGAAGGGUUUCGGAUCGUAAAGCUCUGUUGUUAAGGAAGCGGUACUUAACCAGAAAGGGACGGCUAACUACGUGCCAGCCGCCGCGGUAAUAC
rnacentral:rRNA from 1 species